UACGUAGGGUGCAAGCGUUAAUCGGAAUUACUGGGCGUAAAGCGUGCGCAGGCGGUUGUGUAAGACAGAUGUGAAAUCCCCGGGCUCAACCUGGGAACUGCAUUUGUGACUGCACAGCUGGAGUGCGGCAGAGGGGGAUGGAAUUCCGCGUGUAGCAGUGAAAUGCGUAGAUAUGCGGAGGAACACCGAUGGCGAAGGCAGUGUCCUGGGGAGUACCUGACGCUCAGGUGCGAAAGCCAGGGGAGCGAACGGG
rnacentral:rRNA from 1 species